rnacentral:rRNA from 1 species
UACGGAGGGUGCGAGCGUUAAUCGGAAUUACUGGGCGUAAAGCGCACGCAGGCGGUUUGUUAGGCUAGAUGUGAAAGCCCCGGGCUCAACCUGGGAUGGUCAUUUAGAACUGGCAGACUAGAGUCUUGGAGAGGGGAGUGGAAUUCCAGGUGUAGCGGUGAAAUGCGUAGAUAUCUGGAGGAACAUCAGUGGCGAAGGCGACUCCCUGGCCAAAGACUGACGCUCAUGUGCGAAAGUGUGGGUAGCGAACAGG